rnacentral:rRNA from 1 species
GACGAACGCUGGUGGCGUGCUUAACACAUGCAAGUCGAACGGAAAGGCCCUGCUUUUGUGGGGUGCUCGAGUGGCGAACGGGUGAGUAACACGUGAGUAACCUGCCCUUGACUUUGGGAUAACUUCAGGAAACUGGGGCUAAUACCGGAUAGGAGCUCCUGCUGCAUGGUGGGGGUUGGAAAGUUUCGGCGGUUGGGGAUGGACUCGCGGCUUAUCAGCUUGUUGGUGGGGUAGUGGCUUACCAAGGCUUUGACGGGUAGCCGGCCUGAGAGGGUGACCGGCCACAUUGGGACUGAGAUACGGCCCAGACUCCUACGGGAGGCAGCAGUGGGGAAUAUUGCACAAUGGGCGGAAGCCUGAUGCAGCAACGCCGCGUGCGGGAUGACGGCCUUCGGGUUGUAAACCGCUUUCGCCUGUGACGAAGCGCGAGUGACGGUAAUGGGUAAAGAAGCACCGGCUAACUACGU